AUUUCUUAACCUAAAAACCCUAACCACCACCUCAUCCUACCACCACCGCCACCACCACCACAUCCUGCCACCACCAUCAUGUUCCUCUAGCUGCAUCUUCCUCACCCUCUCCUGCCGAACCUAAUUAUUCAAAAGCCACCAGAAGGUUUUACAACGAGAAUUUUAAGGAAUCAUCGUCUCAGAGGCUCAGUAAAGUUCAGUAAAGUUCCUGCUGCUGCUGGAGUGGCUUCUAGAAAGAGCUGUGAGGAGCUGAUUUUUGAUGGGCGUGUGACUGUUAAUGGAUCUGUAUGCAAUACUCCUCAGGUUGUAUGCCACCACUACCACAUCAUGCCGCCACCAUCAAAUGUCAAGCCUGCAACCUCUUUUCUCAGGAGAAACAGCCCGGUGUGCUGAUCUUUUCCGUUUGUUUUAUGGUUUCUUAAUGUGAAACUCUUUUCUAUUUCAUUAUCAUGUUGGUCCCUUUUUACUUUAUUUUUACUUUUU